rnacentral:misc_RNA from 1 species
AACUUUUAACAAUGGAUCACUUGGUUCUGGCAUCGAUGAAGAACGCAGCGAAAUGCGAUACGUAAUGUGAAUUGCAGAAUUCAGUGAAUCAUCGAAUCUUUGAACGCACAUUGCGCCCGCCAGUAUUCUGGCGGGCAUGCCUGUUCGAGCGUCAUUUCAACCAUCAAGCCCCAGGCUUGUGUUGGAGCCCUGCGGCCGCCCGCAGCCUCCUAAAACCAGUGGCGGGCUCGCUAUCACACCGAGUGCAGUAGUUUUCUCUUCGCUCUGGACGUGUAGCGGGUUCCGGCCGUGAAACCCCCCAAAUUUUCAAGGUUGACCUCGGAUCAGGUAGGAAUACCCGCUGAACUUAAGCAUAUCAAUAAGCGGAGGCU